rnacentral:ribozyme from 1 species
UUUUUUUUUUUUUUUUUUUUUUUUCACUUCACUGUUGUCAGAUUUUUU